rnacentral:rRNA from 1 species
CACUCCUACGGGAGGCAGCAGUGGGGAAUAUUGGACAAUGGGCGCAAGCCUGAUCCAGCCAUGCCGCGUGAGUGAUGAAGGCCCUAGGGUUGUAAAGCUCUUUCACCGGUGAAGAUAAUGACGGUAACCGGAGAAGAAGCCCCGGCUAACUUCGUGCCAGCAGCCGCGGUAAUACGAAGGGGGCUAGCGUUGUUCGGAUUUACUGGCGUAAAGCGCACGUAGGCGGACUAUUAAGUCAGGGGUGAAAUCCCGGGGCUCAACCCCGGAACUGCCUUUGAUACUGGUAGUCUUGAGUUCGAGAGAGGUGAGUGGAAUUCCGAGUGUAGAGGUGAAAUUCGUAGAUAUUCGGAGGAACACCAGUGGCGAAGGCGGCUCACUGGCUCGAUACUGACGCUGAGGUGCGAAAGCGUGGGGAGCAAACAGGAUUAGAAACCCCAGUAGUCCCAU